AAGUCACUGAUUUACAUUUUCAUAGGUGAAGCAGUAAGGGUAGAAAGCCAGCAAACCAAAUGAUCUCAAGUUCGCUAUUGUAAUGAUGCUGCCUACCAUAACGAUAAGCAUAUGCCAUAAAACUGGGAAAAAAAGUGGUACAAGAUUCAAAUGAGAAAAAAAUCAGGCUUUAAGCUCUUCAUCUGGGAUAAAUGAACAUGGGUCCACUGAGCAAUCCUCCUGAAAUAUCCAUGAGCAGCCUUAACUAUCUGUAUAAACUGAAGAACUACCCAGACCUGCUUGGUGCAGGAAUACGUACGAUAGACCACUUUACGGAUGAGAUGCUCAGUGUGAUCCUAUUCACCAGUACAUGUCCCUUUAAUAUUAAUAAGGACCACACAAAACACAGGAGAAAGUGAAGCCUUUUAACAACUUCCAUGUAUUUCUGCUCACUCAGAUAUGUUUUAGAUAACAACUCAAUUGCUUGCCUCCAGUAAUGAUUU